GCCCCCAGUCCCAUCUCCCUACUUUCUCUCUCAAAUGAGAUCUAGGGUUUCUACAUGCGAUUCAAGACCUGGCUUUCACUUCUUUCUCUCUCAAACGAGAUCUAGGGUUUCUACAUGUGAUACAAGAUCUGGCUUUCCCAGUUCGGUUCGACACUUUCAUGGAACCAAAAACUCCGAUCCGAGCGUUGCAGAUCUACAAGUAACCCUACCCCCAACCACCAAUCUCUCCGGCGUCCUCCCCUCCUACGGCCGAACACGAGUUAUCACCUACUCAACAGGAUUUCUCAUUCUAGCAACUUUCCAGCUUUUGUAUGGAUAUAGUCAACAGUUGUUAGAAAUUAAAGCAGCAUUUGUGGGGUUUUUUUUUGUUAUUUAAAAAACAAAAUGAAGCGUUCAGAAAAGCAAGCAUCAGAGGCACUGCCACCACCACCGCUGGUGAUUCCACCAGGUGUUGUUCCUGCUAAAGUCCAUGGCGCGAACCGCACACUAAUGGCUAUACGCGGGUCAGGCACCAGAGGCCAGAAGAUCCCACUGUUGGCUAACCACUUUAAUGUCAAACUGAGCAGCACCAGUGACCACUUCUAUCAAUACAGUGUGGCUUUAUUCCAUGAGACGGAACUCCUAUUAAGGCAAAAGGUGUAGGCAGAAGAGUACUCGACAUGCUCUAUAAGUUAUAUAAAUCAGAGAUGGGUGGUAAAGGGUUUGCAUACGAUGGUGAAAAAACUCUCUUUACUGUGGACCCAUUGCCAGGAACUAAGCUUGAGUUUCCUGUGCUGUUGGAGAAUCUGUCAUCAAACAGAGGUAAAACGUCUGCAGUCUGCGGACCAAAUCUGCAGACAUCUGUUGCAGAAGAGAUGGACCAAAUAUCUGCAAUCUGCGGGAAGAAGACUGUUUGUUUUUUAACACCACACCAACACCCCUUAUCUCUUUCUAUUCUCAGAUCCCUUUCUCCAAUUCUCUUUCUCACUUCUCAGACAACCACCACCACCACCACCACCUAACACUCACCACCACCAUCUCACUUCUACCUCCUCCACCGAACACCCACUGCCACCACCAUCUUACUUCCAACACCGGAAACCCACCAACACCAUAACACCACUUUACUCUAUUUUGAAAUCACAGAUUUCUCUUUUUCUCUCUCUUCCUAUCAAGAUUCAAGCAUAGACAAUUCUGGUGACGGUGUUGGUUUAGACGAUGAUGACGACCAGACGAUAACGGUGAUGGUGUUGGUCGACGACGACGCUGACGGUGGGUUUCCGACGGGUUCGACGGUGUUAACUUUGUUCACAAUAACCUUAAGUAAGUCAGAUCUUCACACAUUCACGAUGGUUUGAUGAGAAAUUAGUUGAACUUGUUCAGUUAGUUGGUGAAGGAGAAGGAGAAGUGCCGGUCACCGACUUUGAUCGGAGUCUGUCGACUCGUGAAUGUGUGAAGAUUUGAAUACAGUGGCCCAUCACUAAUUGGGUUGUCUUAUUGUUUCCAAGUUUUCUUCUUCACCACCAAUUUAGGUAUAACUUUGUUCUCAUUUUUACAGUUUCAAUUUUUUUGCAUUUUGUUUGAUUUGGAGGGUGACCAGUUGGUGGAGGAGAUGGGGUGGAGGAGAAGGGGUGAAGACAUUGAACCAUGUCUGCACCAAACAGAGGUCUUGCAGACGUUUUUUAGUGAAAGGUCUUCGAAAAACAAACAGUCUUCAGACCCAAAGGUCUGCGCGUGGUCUGCGCGGCGCAGACAUAAGAGGUCAGGAAGCACUUCUUGUAAAAAACAAACAACACCUAAUUGUAUUAUGAGGAA